GAUGAACGCUGGCGGCGUGCCUAAUACAUGCAAGUCGAGCGAACAGAUGAGGAGCUUGCUCCUCUGACGUUAGCGGCGGACGGGUGAGUAACACGUGGAUAACCUACCUAUAAGACUGGGAUAACUUCGGGAAACCGGAGCUAAUACCGGAUAAUAUAUUGAACCGCAUGGUUCAAUAGUGAAAGACGGUUUUGCUGUCACUUAUAGAUGGAUCCGCGCCGCAUUAGCUAGUUGGUAAGGUAACGGCUUACCAGGGCAACGAUGCGUAGCCGACCUGAGAGGGUGAUCGGCCACACUGGAACUGAGACACGGUCCAGACUCCUACGGGAGGCAGCAGUAGGGAAUCUUCCGCAAUGGGCGAAAGCCUGACGGAGCAACGCCGCGUGAGUGAUGAAGGUCUUCGGAUCGUAAAACUCUGUUAUUAGGGAAGAACAAAUGUGUAAGUAAAUAUGCACGUCUUGACGGUACCUAAUCAGAAAGCCACGGCUAACUACGUG
rnacentral:rRNA from 1 species